rnacentral:lncRNA from 1 species
GAGGAGCAAGCCCAUAAGCAGCACUCUUUCAUGACCUCUGCAUCAGCACUGGCCUCCAGGUUCCUGCCCUGAUUUCCCUGUGUCACAGUCUGUGGUGUGAAACUAGAUCCAGAGAAGGAGGAGCAGGCUGCUGCAGAGAAGGCUGUGACCAAGGAGGAAUUUCAGCGUGAAUGACUAUAUCAGCUUCUAAGUUCACUGCAGCUCAGCCACAGGUGGCAGACUGGUGUGAGGGUGUGAGGGUGCCCUUUGUACCUUUCACACUGAAGACUGGAAUGCCUGGCCAGCCAUUGAGGACUAGUCAGCAGUUCCCACAGAACAGGCCACCAAGUGAAUUGGAGCCACCACGGAAUGGUCCUGGGCUGGCUCUACAGACACUUAAGCAAAGAGGAUAAAGGUGGAAAGAAAAUAAAGUUCCUAAAAGCUGGUGGUAGGGUGGGGGAGAAUAUUUGCAUAUAGGAAUAAGAAGACGUGACUGGGAAUACUUGUAAGAGACUUGUUUGUAGAAGCUAGGGAAGCCUACAGCUCAAAUGGAAAAUGCUUUAAUGAGGUGAGGUACAUUCAGUCUAUAGCAAGCUCUCAGUAUCUCAUCUUUAUGACUUACUUAAGAGUUAUCUUGUAUCUAUAAACUGCUAGCUAGUCCUCAUCUGAGAGCUUUUUCUGGUCCAGAGCCCUCUGCCCGUGUGCACUGUAGACCAAUAGUAAUGGGGCAUUAAUAUCUUCCAGAAGCAUUCUCAAUAAAUGUCAAAUGGGAGCUGAUGGGUAAGUACUCCACACUCCUAAGUCUCUCCAAAUGGCAUCACCAACUGGGACGUAUGGAUGUCUUAAAGGCCGUGAGACUAUGGGAGCAUUGCUCAUUCAAACCACCACAUCUACAGUGACAGCUUGCUUGAUAAAAAUAUCCUUAAUGACUUCCUUCCCUUCUCUCUUCCCUAGUCCUCCGCUCAUAUUUCCUGGGAUUGUAACUGGGUUGGCAGGAAUGAAGAUAUUCUAGAACGACUCUGACCCCUAACAGCUCCAGUAGCCAUGAAGAUCAAGAGGGUUUUUUUUUUUUCUUAAGUAGCAAACUCUAGAUUUUUUUAUUAAAAAAAAAAUUGGGGGAUUUUUUUAGCCGGACAUAAUGUUGCAUGCUUUGAAUCCUAACAUUCAGAAGCCAGAGGCAGGUGGAGAUCUAUAUAUACAGGGAGUUCCUCACUAGGCAGGGCUACACUGGGAAAUGCUGCCCCCCCCAAAAAAUUGUUGAGUUGUAUUUAUUGAUUUGAGGGCUUAUGUAGACCAGGCUAUCCUUGAACUUGUUGUCUAGCUGUGGAUGACCUUGGACUCCUGAUCCUCCUCCAUCCCUCUUCUAAGUGCUGGGACUUCUGCACGUGUGACUCUUCUCAGCUCAAAUGUUAGGAUUUUUAGAAACAAAAAUAAAGUCACAAAUAACGUGC